rnacentral:rRNA from 1 species
UACGAAGGGGGCUAGCGUUGCUCGGAAUCACUGGGCGUAAAGGGUGCGUAGGCGGGUCUUUUAAGUCAGGGGUGAAAUCCUGGAGCUCAACUCCAGAACUGCCUUUGAUACUGAGGAUCUUGAGUUCGGGAGAGGUGAGUGGAACUGCGAGUGUAGAGGUGAAAUUCGUAGAUAUUCGCAAGAACACCAGUGGCGAAGGCGGCUCACUGGCCCGAUACUGACGCUGAGGUGCGAAAGCGUGGGGAGCAAACAGGG